AACAAAGGAUUUAUAAUAAGUCCAAGAAAGCUGAGGUAUCACUGGAAUUCCCUGUAAGCAACACUGACAUACUUUAUCACAUGUAAAAUCCUCAAAUUUAAUGUACAGUACUGGAAUAUGUCCCCUAGGUAUUUUAUAUUUUCUGUGGCUCUAAGUCCUAAGCAACUGCCAUCAUGAAGGAGAAUCAAGACUGCUAAAGUAAAGGAGCUUGGUCACACUCAUUUGGUUACUGAUACAGAAACUCAAAUCUGGAAGCACCUGUGCUGGAAAAGGGUAGUGCGAGAAAGAGGUAGGUUUGCCAGAGAAAAUCGCAUGCCGAGCUCACCUUGUCCGUGGACCAGCACACAAGCCAUGCCUGGACACCUCCCUCCACCAAGGCUGCCAGUCAGGGGAUUUCAGGUGGUUUCUUCAAUCGGAGUCUUGGCAGCUCUACACCUGUCCUCACUCCACAUGGGAUAUACGUGUAGAGACUACAUCGUGCUUUAACCUUGAGUGCUACUUCUUAAACCAAAAGUAAAUUUAAACUAAGGACCCAUUUCAGCCAAACUUUCCCAAGCAAUUCUACUUUCUUCUCUCUCUUAUCUUCUACUCAGCAGGGGGAAGAAAAAUGGACCAUGUUAUAACAAAUAACAUGGCGGUGAACUCUGUGGAUGGUGGAGUUGUUCUGUGUGCUCCAGUUCCUACCGAGAUUGUGCCUAACUCAUCAUGAAUCUCAGCAGCAGCAGCAUGGACACCAUCACCAGCAGAAGCGUUUGCAAGUAUCCAAUUAUGGGUUAGAGACUCUGCAAGGAAAUUACAUUCACCCAGCACCUGGCCAGAACCUAAGACUUGUUUCAGCACUUCUUGCAAUUAGCAGAGGGCAGUUGCCUCUGUGGUGUGUAGCCAGUUGGGGUGAUAAGCAAUUCUCACCCCACAAGCCUCAUGAGACAUCUGGUGACUGAGUUCGCAAUGGCACUGCCUCAGUGUGUGUGCCCAUAAAAAAGACUCCCAGAUGAAUAAUGGGUGUUGGACCUAGAAUGA
rnacentral:lncRNA from 1 species